rnacentral:piRNA from 1 species
UGCCCAGAUGAUGGGGACUAUUGCUAAUGC